AUUGAACGCUGGCGGCAUGCCUAACACAUGCAAGUCGAACGGUAGCAGGCCUUCGGGCGCUGACGAGUGGCGGACGGGUGAGUAAUACAUAGGAAUCUGCCUUUUAGUGGGGGAUAACCCGGAGAAAUCCGGGCUAAUACCGCAUACGCACUACGGUGGAAAGCAGGGGAUCGUAAGACCUUGCGCUAAUAGAUGAGCCUAUGUCGGAUUAGCUUGUUGGUAGGGUAAUGGCCUACCAAGGCGACGAUCCGUAGCUGGUCUGAGAGGACGACCAGCCACACUGGGACUGAGACACGGCCCAGACUCCUACGGGAGGCAGCAGUGGGGAAUAUUGGACAAUGGGGGCAACCCUGAUCCAGCAAUGCCGCGUGUGUGAAGAAGGCC
rnacentral:rRNA from 1 species